GGCCGAACGAGUAAGGGUUCCUCAGCAAUGCUGAUCAGCUGAGGGUUAGCCGGUCCUAAGUCUCACCGCAGUUCGAAUGAGACAAAAGGGAAAUAGGUUAAUAUUCCUAUGCCAGUGUGAAUUAGAAGUCGACGCUUUGGAGCCGCCCAGGCCGGGCAUUCGCCCGGUGUAACCAUCGAAGUUCGUGGAAGCCGUAAUGGCAGGAAGCGGACGAAUGGUGGGAUGCCGCAAGCUGGGUCAAUCUGGAGCCCGUGAAAAGACGAUCACACUGUCCGUACCGAGAUCCGACACAGGUACUCGUGGCGGCGAAAGCCAAGGUCUGUCGGGAUCAACCGACGUUAGGGAAUUCGGCAAGUUAGUCCCGUACGUUCGCAAUAAGGGAUGCCUGCCUCGGAGAGAGGCAGGUCGCAGUGACUCGGGCGCUCCGACUGUCUAGUAACAACAUAGGUGACCGCAAAUCCGCAAGGACUCGUACGGUCACUGAAUCCUGCCCAGUGCGGGUAUCUGAACACUCAGUACAAUGAGACGAAGGACCCGUUAACGGCGGGGGUAACUAUGACCCUCUUAAGGUAGCGUAGUACCUUGCCGCUUUAGUAGCGGCUUGCAUGAAUGGAUCAACGAGAGCGCCACUGUCCCAACGUUGGGCCCGGUGAACUGUACAUUCCAGUGCGGAGUCUGGAGACCCCCAAGGGGAAGCGAAGACCCUAUAGAGCUUUACUGCAGGCUGUCGCUGAGACGUGGUCGCCAUUGUGCAGCAUAGGUAGGAGCCAUUACACAGGUACCCGCGCUAGCGGGCCACCGAGGCAGCAUUGAAAUACUACCCGAUGGUGACUGCGACUCUCACUCCUGGCGGAGGACACCGGUAGCCGGGCAGUUUGACUGGGGCGGUACGCGCUUGAAAAGAUAUCGAGCGCGCCCCAAGGUUUCCUCACUCGGGUCGGAGACCCGAGUAAGAGUGCAAGAGCAUAAGGAAGCCUGACAGUGUCGAGCACAACAAUCGACGCUGACGCGAAAGCGUGGUCUAGCGAACCAAUUAGCCUGCUUAAUGCGGGCAAUUGCUGACAGAAAAGCUACCUUAGGGAUAACAGAGUCGUCACCCGCAAGAGCACAUAUCGACCGGGUGGCUUGCUACCUCGAUGUCGGUUCCCUCCAUCCUGCCCGUGCAGAAGCGGGCAAGGGUGAGGUUGUUCGCCUAUUAAAGGAGGUCGUGAGCUGGGUUUAGACCGUCGUGAGACAGGUCGGCUGCUAUCUAUUGGGGGUGUAACGGUAUCUGACGAGAACGUUCGUAUAGUACGAGAGGAACUACGAAUGGGUGCCACUGGUGUACCAGUUGUUCGAGAGAGCACGUGCUGGGCAGCCACGCGCCACGGGGUAAGAGCUGAACGCAUCUAAGCUCGAAACCCACUUGAAAAAGAGAUACCAUCUGAGAUCACUCGUAGAAGACGAGUUCGAUAGACUCGGGGUGUACGCACCAAGGCAACGAGGUGUUGAGCCCGCGAGCACUAACUGAUC
rnacentral:ncRNA from 1 species